ensembl:lncRNA
CCUCCCUUCACCACGCGCCCGGCUCCUCGGACCAACCCCGGGGGAUACAUUGUUUGCGCUCCGGGUCUGGGUCACCGGAGUCGCUCUCUGGCACUGCGCCGCCGGCCAGCCUCCGCCGUUGGGAAGAGCGCGCCGUUGCCAUGGAGACCAGAUCGCCAUCACUGCUGCAGACGCUGCCGCUCCUCCCGCUCCUCUCCCGCUGUUGCUCCCUCCUCCCCCACGUAACCCUGGUAACGGUGUCCGUGGCGAGCAGGGAGGCGGCCCCCAAACACAAACAAUCUCUUCCUCCCCGCCCCGCCCCGCCCCGUGUGUCCCCGGGGGGACCAAAGUCUCCCGGCUGAUCCCGCUGCUCCCGCAGCGUCCCAGAGGGAGAAAAAGGGGUGGCCCUGCGGGAGCCCCGGGAGGGGAUGGGGCGACCCCGCCGCAGGCACCUUUCACUGGGGCUCCCGGGCCGGUCCAUGUCGAGCGCAGCGGGACGCGUCGCCAGACUCCCGCCCUGGCUCUCCGGUUCUCCGGCUCCGAGCCGCCGAGCCCCUCUCUCCGGGACCCACGCAGGAAAGGUUCCCUCCCUUGGCCAGCCCAGAAAGGGGAACUUGGCGUAGAAGGAAGCUCCCGCCCGCCGUCUGCGAGAACUGAUCACCAAGAAGGAUUGGAGCGCAAAGGAAAGCCGUUUCUGCCGGGGCCAGGACCCCCCACCUCCCCAGAGGCAGGCAGGAGCCGGGGACGUGUCCAUCAUCACAUACCCGCCCCUCUGUGGCUCUGAGCAUCUCCCCCGACUCCGGCAUCUGGGGACCAGGGAAGGGAGUGGGAGAGGACUCGGGGGAAUGCCGGAGACGGGAAACUACGUGUUCCGGAGGAGCUGGGAUUUCUAGGGGGCAACCGCACCCAUUACUCAAGCUCCUCACAACCCCGGGGACUCCUCCCAUCCCUUUUAACUGCGCCGAGAGCCUGCCCAGGGGACAGGUUUAGACACCGGGCCCUUCUCCGUGUUGUGUUUGUUUGACUGUAGGAUGGGGAGGAGGACUCAUUUCCGAUGCCUAAAAGGGAGGUUCUAUCCCUGGCUGAAGGGUUGGGGUUGGGGGCAAGCUGGAGGAGUGACGAGUUCUCUGUAUUAGCCCCUCCUCCAAAAUGGAAGAAGACUUUACCAGAUAUAAGAGAGGGGCUCCAUUCAAAACUAACCUCGCCUGAAAAGUUAGAUUUCAAGUAACUCAUUCACGGAGAAAAUCAUCUUCUGCUUCAAGAAGAAAAACAAUGUCAGUGAAUCCCCAAGUCAAAGCCCCCGAGGCGGUGCUCCAAAGGCUCGUCAGUUUUUCCUCUAGACACAAGCACCUUAGGGGAAGGGGGCUCGGCAUGAAGGAGUAGCUUGGAGAAUUUUUUGUGCGCUUCGCCGAAGCCCUCCCUGUUCCCCAGACUGGCUCUUUGUGUAUCUCGGUACAUUUCUGGCGUAGGGGACUUAAGUCAUCAAUAGUGACUAAGAGACAACGAAUGAAGGGGAAAGAUCUAGUUCUAUUAUCAUUCCCCUUAUCAAAAAGCUUUACUCGUUACAUACCAAAAAGUCCUAAUUUCUCCCCCAGACAUUCAAGAUGCUAUGCGAUAGGGAUACCAAGUUACCUUUUCGAUCUUACUUUCCAUUACUAUAGUCACCCCAAAAUCUAGCUGACUUCAUCCUAUGAUCUCAUCCUUUCCACCUACAGUUACUCUUUCUGUUCCUUCUUCCUGGAAUGUUCUCCUUCCUCUCCCAGCUCUUCACCUCUGCUUGGGGAAAUCCCACUCACCCUUAAAAAGGAGGGUUAAUUCAUUAACCUUCAUUAAGCCUUUUCUGACUUCCCCCAGUCUGAUGAGAUCUCUUCCCUCUAGUCAUCUCAGAACUUUCUCUAUUUCUCUAAAGCAUAUUUCUUCGGCAUCAUAAUUGUGCACUUGCCCUGUUCCCAGUAAUAGUACUCGAGUGAUCCAAAACUUUAAGGCAUACACCUGUAGAAACCUAGCAUUCUUCUCUGCCUUGUUGGUUCUCUGAUAAUCCCCCAAAAGUCUUGUCUCAGGUAUAGCAGGAAAAGGCUCUCAUGCCAUUCAGAGAGACCUCGAAAAUCCUUGGAGGGUAAGAGUGAAAGAAGGAAAGGUCCAAUUUACAGUAUAAUUCACUAGAUAGUAAACUUCAGGAGGAUGAAUUAUGUUUUACUAGUAUUUAUAAUCUUGGAAACAUCUAUUACAACAGUGUCUUGCACAUCAAAGGUUCACAAGGGUGUGUGUGUGUGUGUGUGUGUGUGUGUGAUUUGUUGAAUGGCUAAAAAGGGGGAAAAACUCAAAAAGCAACAUAUUCAAAUUAGCAACACAAGAAAGUAAUAGGCUAUGACCAUGUAAAUUGUAUGUAAAUACCAUGUAAAGCAAAUGCAAAUUAAAUUGUGCCUUUCCUAUUUCAUCCAGACAGAUAAGGCUGUCAGGAAAAUCCUAAGGAAGAUAACUGUCCUCCAGGGGAAUGGACUGAAUUGUCCCUAAGAAGGAAAGGAUAAUACUGAUACUGCACCCUCUCUUCCCUCCCUCUUAAACAAUUAGGCCCUCGUCCAUUCAAAUGAAAGACCCCGAACUAACCCUCUUAACAGUAAAAAAUUGUUCACAUGGUGUGAUUUCAGGAACCUUAGGAAAAUCAGGUGCCCCCAAAUACCAAGCUUUAUUUUACAACUUUAAACCAC